CCCUUAGAUGUUCUGGGCUGCACGCGUGCUACACUGAUUAUUUCAACAAGUGUUUUAACUGGAGAGUUUGCGUAAUCCUGAAAUGUUAUCGUGAUGGGAGUAGAGUAUUGUAUUUGUUAAUCUUUAACGAGGAAUUCCUAGUAAGUGUAGGUUUAUAAGUUGUUCUGAUUACGUCCCUGCCCUUUGUACACGCCGCCCGUCGCUCCUACCGAUUGAUUGAUCCGGUGAAUUACAUAGAAUUUUGCGUUUUACAUGACGGAAGACGAAGUGUUUUAAACCUUAUCAUUUAGAGGAAGGAGAAGUCGUAACA
rnacentral:rRNA from 1 species